rnacentral:lncRNA from 1 species
GCAGCCUCUGGGCAGUCCUUCUGCCGGUCAUAGCAGCCUACGGAGAGGCCAUCCAGUCAUGGCACAAGGUCCUCGGAUCCCGUCCACCCAGCAGCCUCGGGGCUACGGAGCGAUGAUCUGCAUCAAGCCAAGACUGCCCCACUAGCCUCCCCGUUACUCCGGUCACAAUUAGGAGGACGAGGCCGUCUCUUUUCCACGUGACUCUCCUGAAAACUGCCGAUGGAAGGAUCAAGAGCAGGAGAAAGUCGGAUCUGGAUCCUUGGGUUGGAGUGAUUUUUUUGAAAGAUCCAGGUGGAGGUGACCAGCAGGCUCCAAACCGUUGGCAGCCUCGGAAGCUCCCUGAGGGCAGGCAUUGGGCUCCUUCUCUUUUCGGACCCUCCGCCCUUAGCUCGGAGCCCCGGGAGGGAGAAGCCUGUUGAUUAACAGAACAACACAGCAGAGGGGACUUGUUAGAACACUGUCGGCACUCGUCCUAAAGAUGCCCAUCUAAGAGGAAGAGGCUCUGCCCAUCGCUGCAUCCUUCUGCCCCUCCUUGCCGCCUCUGCCCGUGCCCACGAAGGUGCGUCACAUGCCGCGGGUUGUACGUCUGUCAUCCUAGCGGGCAGCUCUUCUCCGUCUGUCACGUGUCCAACCAGACUCGCUAGACUUGCCAUCAGGUAUGCCAGGCAGAAGGAGGGCGUGUGCCCAUCUCCCUGGUGACUCACAAAUCUCAACGAAGGCAAGGAGAAAGAGUUAGAGUCUGACUCGGACGACCCAGCUCUGCUCCUUACCAUCUCUAUGGCGUUGGCCUCGGGUUCUUAAAUGUGAAGCUUAGAAUGGCCCAGGAGUUCUUAACCCUUUUGAUGUCUCGGACCCCUUCACCACUCUGGUGAAGACUAGGGACCAUUCUCCGAAUACCAUUUUAAUCCAGUAUAUACAAUUCCAAAGGAAGCCAAUUGGAAGUCAAAGAGAGUUAGCAACCUUUGAGAAGUUCUUGGACCCCAAGUUAAGAACCCCAGCACUUUAGAAUGAGAUUUAGCCUCUGAAAAACCUUCCCAGAAUUCUCCAAUCCACUAGGAAGCCAUUGAAUCUUCCCCUGCUACUUCCCCCAGGAGUCAGGUGGGAAGUGAAUACUCUCCGGGAAUUAAAUUCAUGCCGACUCUCAGUGGUCUCAUCAGCUCUUGGACCUCAGGAUCUGCCUAAACCCACCUCGUCCUUC